AACGAACGCUGGCGGCAUGCCUAACACAUGCAAGUCGAACGAGACCUUCGGGUCUAGUGGCGCACGGGUGCGUAACGCGUGGGAACCUGCCCUUAGGUUCGGAAUAACUCCCCGAAAGGGGUGCUAAUACCGGAUAAUGUCUUCGGACCAAAGAUUUAUCGCCUUUGGAUGGGCCCGCGUUGGAUUAGCUAGUUGGUAGGGUAAAAGCCUACCAAGGCGACGAUCCAUAGCUGGUCUGAGAGGAUGAUCAGCCACACUGGGACUGAGACACGGCCCAGACUCCUACGGGAGGCAGCAGUGGGGAAUAUUGGACAAUGGGAAAGCCUGAUCCAGCAAUGCCGCGUGAGUGAUGAAGGCCUUAGGGUUGUAAAGCUCUUUUACCCGGGAUGAUAAUGACAGUACCGGGAGAAUAAGCGCCGGCUAACUCCGUG
rnacentral:rRNA from 1 species